CCUACGGGAGGCAGCAGUGAGGAAUAUUGGUCAAUGGCCGGAAGGCUGAACCAGCCAUGCCGCGUGAAGGUCAGUGCCCUAUGGGCGUUAAACUUCUGUUGUGCGGGAGCAAUAAUGGUCACGUGUGGCCAGACGAGAGUACCGGACGAAUAAGAAUCGGCUAACUCCGUGCCAGCAGCCGCGGUAAGACGGGGGAUGCAAGCGUUAUCCGGAUUUAUUGGGGUUAAAGGGUGCGUAGGCUGUGAGGUAAGUCAGCGGUGAAAUGCCCCCGCUCAACGGGGUGAAGUGCCAUUGAUACUUCCUUGCUGGAAUGCGGAUGCCGUGGGAGGAAUGUGUGGUGUAGCGGUGAAAUGCAUAGAUAUCACACAGAACACCGAUUGCGAAGGCAUCUCACGAAUCCGCGAUUGACGCUGAUGCACGAAAGCGUGGGUAUCAAACAGGAUUAGAUACCCGUGUAGUC
rnacentral:rRNA from 1 species